GACGAACGCUGGCGGCGUGCUUAACACAUGCAAGUCGAACGGAAAGGCCCUGCUUUUGUGGGGUGCUCGAGUGGCGAACGGGUGAGUAACACGUGAGUAACCUGCCCUUGACUUUGGGAUAACUUCAGGAAACUGGGGCUAAUACCGGAUAGGAGCUCCUGCUGCAUGGUGGGGGUUGGAAAGUUUCGGCGGUUGGGGAUGGACUCGCGGCUUAUCAGCUUGUUGGUUGGGUAGUGGCUUACCAAGGCUUUGACGGGUAGCCGGCCUGAGAGGGUGACCGGGCACAUUGGGACUGAGAUACGGCCCAGACGCCUACGGGAGGCAGCAGGGGGGAAUAUUGCACAAUGGGCGGAAGCCUGAUGCAGCAACGCCGCGUGCGGGAUGACGGCCUUCGGGUUGUAAACCGCUUUAGCCUGUGACGAAGCGUGAGUGACGGUAAUGGGUAAAGAAGCACCGGCUAACUACGUG
rnacentral:rRNA from 1 species